AACAUUCGGAAACGGGUGCUAAUACCGCAUAAUAUCUUCUUCCGCAUGGAAGAAGAUUGAAAGACGGCUCUGCUGUCACUUAUAGAUGACCUUGCGGUGCAUUAGUUAGUUGGUGGGGUAACGGCCUACCAAGACGAUGAUGCAUAGCCGACCUGAGAGGGUGAUCGGCCACAUUGGGACUGAGACACGGCCCAAACUCCUACGGGAGGCAGCAGUAGGGAAUCUUCCGCAAUGGGCGAAAGCCUGACGGAGCAAUGCCGCGUGAGUGAAGAAGGCCUUCGGGUCGUAAAACUCUGUUAUAAGAGAAGAACAAAUUGUAGAGUAACUGCUACAGUCUUGACGGUAUCUUAUCAGAAAGCCACGGCUAACUACGUGCCAGCAGCCGCGGUAAUACGUAGGUGGCAAGCGUUGUCCGGAUUUAUUGGGCGUAAAGGGAGCGCAGGUGGUUUCUUAAGUCUGAUGUGAAAGCCCACGGCUUAACCGUGGAGGGUCAUUGGAAACUGGGAAACUUGAGUACAGAAGAGGAAUGUGGAACUCCAUGUGUAGCGGUGGAAUGCGUAGAUAUAUGGAAGAACACCAGUGGCGAAGGCGACAUUCUGGUCUGUUACUGACACUGAGGCUCGAAAGCGUGGGGAGCAAACAGGAUUAGAUA
rnacentral:rRNA from 1 species